rnacentral:rRNA from 1 species
ACGGAAGGCAGCAGUGGGGAAUAUUGGGCAAUGGGGGAAACCCUGACCUAGCAACGCCGCGUGGAGGAAGAAGGUCUUCGGAUCGUAAACUCCUGUCCUAAGAGACGAGUAGAAGACGGUAACUUAGGAGGAAGCCCCGGCUAACUACGUGCCAGCAGCCGCGGUAAUACGUAGGGGGCGAGCGUUGUCCGGAAUGAUUGGGCGUAAAGGGCGCGUAGGCGGCCUGUUAAGUCAGAAGUGAAAGUCCUGCUUUCAAGGUGGGAAUUGCUUUUGAUACUGAUGGGCUUGAGUGCAGGAGAGGUUAGUGGAAUUCCCAGUGUAGCGGUGAAAUGCGUAGAGAUUGGGAGGAACACCAGUGGCGAAGGCGACUAACUGGACUGUAACUGACGCUGAGGCGCGAAAGUGUGGGGAGCAAACAGGAUUAGAUACCCUGGUA